rnacentral:rRNA from 1 species
UACGAAGGGGCUAGCGUUGCUCGGAAUCACUGGGCGUAAAGCGCACGUAGGCGGAUUGCUAAGUCAGGGGUGAAAUCUCCGGGCUUAACUCGGAACGGCCAAGUGAAACUGUCAUGCUAGAGUGCAGAAGGGGCAAUCGGAAUUCUUGGUGUAGCGGUGAAAUGCGUAGAUAUCAAGAGGAACACCUGAGGUGAAGACGGGUUGCUGGGCUGACACUGACGCUGAGGCGCGAAAGCCAGGGAGCAAACGGG